UACGUAGGUGGCAAGCGUUGUCCGGAUUUACUGGGCGUAAAGAGCGCGCAGGCGGUCGUUCAAGUCGCGUGUGAAAGCCCCCGGCUCAACUGGGGAGGGUCACGCGAUACUGAUCGACUCGAAGGCAGGAGAGGGUAGUGGAAUUCCCGGUGUAGUGGUGAAAUGCGUAGAUAUCAUUUGGAACGCCAAUGGUGAAAACAGGUAACUGGGGCUGUGCUGACGCUGAGACACGAAAGCCAGGGGAGCGAACGGG
rnacentral:rRNA from 1 species